GCAGCCGCAGUUUCGAGCACAAAAUUAUUGAGUAACCGACCAUGUAACCAUUGAUACUUCGAAGAAUGUUAAGCAGCAUAUUAAAAUCAUCGGCAAUUCGACAGUGAGGACUGGCUCCCUACGCAGAGUGCUUAGGAUUCCCUUGUAACUAUCGGCGCAGAAGUGAGGCAAUGGUUGUAUCGCCUGAAUUGGAUAAGCAAUCUCGCCACGCAGAAAAAGAGGUUAGCAGUCACAUCAAUUUGAACAGCAGUUGCUUGCAGUUGGGGCCAAGACGAAAUGUGAGACAUCCCUUUGUCAAGAGCUGUACAUAAUCAGUUAGGAGUCAGGUGGCUCCCAUAUUCUUUGGACAAAAGAACAUAGAGGCAGCAAAGAAUUAUUUCAGAUGGUGGAAUUUGAACCAAUAGCAGAGCCUGAAGAAGAGCCAACAAGAUUUAAUCUACACUCCCCGAGACUGGCAUAUAAUGGUGGUGUGCACUAUUGUUUCUGAAGGAGUCACUGUCAAGGAAGAAAGCAGACUUGGCACCCCUCUCCAAAUUCAAAAUUCCCAAUAACAGCUGACAAUAUUUUCAAGUUGGUCAUGAAUGGCCAGUGCAAGAGCAAGCGUAUUUAAACUAGCAAGUAGUAAUACGUCUUCGCUCAACAAGACCCGAUCGUUAGAGGAGAGCCACUGCAAAUUAUAAAUGUCGCGCAAGUUCUCCAUUAUUGGUUGUCUGGCGAGUUAAAAUGAUCGUGCAGUACAUUUGGCAAUCAUGCCACCAUGCUGCAGACCGUUAGUUCUACUCUCCAUUGCCUGCCAUUGUCAUGGAUCUUGAUUGGACCAGGAUUAUUGAACGAUCGUCAAGACGUCAGUGAAAGCGACUAUACCAACCUGACCAUGUUAUCUCAAUCAUGGUUGCUUGCAUAUGCCCCCUUGUUUUACACUUGAAUGUGAGGAGCAAAAAUGGUGAACAAGAAAGGAAGAAGAAUUAUGAACUAGAAGGUAUAUUAACUACAUACUGCGCAUUGCACCAAAGGCAAAAUUCCAUCGUCACGGUCAUCUUGCUGGUGCAUAAUCUUUUAGGUGGUUCCCUUAUUCUUCAAUCAACUAGCUGGAGCGGAUGCUGGCUGGUGACGAUCAGCCAAGAAGCAACAAUAAUCACCUCAGCCGUGAGCAGGAGAAAACAGAAAGGUCAUGUCCAUCCUUUCAUUGCUCUAGGAAAGUGCAGCUCCCGUGACAGAUUUGGUUAUUAAAUUCAUGCUGUUGGCCACCCACAUCUUUUAAAACGUAUCAAACGACACCGUGGUUAACUCCUGGAUAUUCACAAAUUUUUUUGAAAAUCAAAUUUUGCUUUAUUCGACAAGUUUUAAACGUUCCGAAAGAGAAUCCAUAGUUUCAAGUGAAGAACUGGCCGGAUGUCAAGUCUUGCACCAACUCUGCAGCUUGCAAAGAUCUGGAAGUCCUUUCAUCAAAUACGGCUAAGAAACACAUCAGUGAAAAAUUCCAUCUUCACGCGUUAAUGGUCUGCGACGUUAUGGUGUUAGUCAACGCGGAUGUAUUAAGAGCUGGGCCCUUGCGAAUCUUCUCUCAUACCUAGGGUAAUUUUGGAAUUGUCUUUUUUUUGUUAUGGUAAGAGUACCAUGUAUACUUUUAUGGUUAUUUUUUGCGGUAAUUGCAUCUCGUCAUUAUUUAUGUGAUUUAUCCCCUCCCCCAUUUGUCACAUUUUUUCGGAAUUAUUUUAACAUUCCUUUUUGAAAGAGAAACAAAAAGGUUUGCAUUCAGGUUUUGCCAUAUCAUACCAGCCUAUUACAGCAGUAAUCAAUGUUCGAGUACAGCGACGUACAAGAUUGUCGCACAAAUUACGAUGGCAAUCUAUCUCUGAAUUGUUUAUCUCAAGUUGAAGACUUGAAGAGCCCUCGCCUACUCGCGCCUACUAUACUGCUGGGAAAUUGUCAUACAACUUUCAAGUGGUUAAAAUUAUGGCCAGUAGAUGGCGCGCGUGUUUUCGUCUGAAAUGAAAACCCGCCAUUGGUUUUCGAGACACUUUACGAAAACGUGAAACUUUGAUAUUGAUCAUGAUCAGUAGUAUUUUUUUUUUUAAUAAGUAGGAAUAAGAGCCAGGUUAAGUCUGCGCUUCUUUGUUGCAGUCUAAUGUGCACAUCGAUUGGUUGCUGUCAUCCAGUGAAAGGUGUGAUUUAAUUGAGCUGUUGCAUGCAGUCUUUGGUGCUGAUGUUGUCCUUGGAGUGUGGGAGAGUUCCAUGCUUCAAGUCUUCUGGGAUCAGCCAUAUCUGAGUUGACGCUAGAUCAUGCUGCAUUGUGGUUGCCAAAAUGUUGGACAUACAGUAGAACUGCAAGAUAACUCCUUGA
rnacentral:lncRNA from 1 species